rnacentral:rRNA from 1 species
AUUGAACGCUGGCGGCAGGCCUAACACAUGCAAGUCGAACGAGUGGCGGACGGGUGAGAAAUGUCUGGGAAACUGCCUGAUGGAGGGGGAUAACUACUGGAAACGGUAGCUAAUACCGCAUACCAUCAGAUGUGCCCAGAGGUGAUUAGCGUGUGGGGGGGGUAGCGGCUCACCAAGGCGACGAUCCCUAGCUGGUCUGAGAGGAUGACCAGCCACACUGGGACUGAGACACGGCCCAGACUCCUACGGGAGGCAGCAGUGGGGAAUAUUGCACAAUGGGCGCAAGCCUGAUGCAGCCAUGCCGCGUGUAUGAAGAAGGCCUUCGGGUUGUAAAGUACUUUCAGCCGGGAGGCGUUACCCGCAGAAGAAGCACCGGCUAACUCCGUGCCAGCAGCCGCGGUAAUUC